rnacentral:misc_RNA from 1 species
CCCCUCACCCGUCUGUAGUGUAGCCAAGCAAGACAUGCCACAUAGUAUAUCAGAGUGUUUUAAAUUAUCCCAUUAUAUUCUUGGUUAUCACAUAUAAUUUUAUUUAAAUUCAGAUCUAAUUAUUUUGUCGGAGAAAUUGACGGAGUUUUCCCUCAUUUCUUAAUAAUUUGACGAUUUCCCACCUGUGUGAAACAAUUACAAUUAUUUAUAUAUAUAUAUUCUCAAAUUCGUUUUCUCAUUCAGAUAUUCAAUAAGUUUCACUCAUAUAAAUACAUAAGAAAUUCAAAUCAUUUUCAUACAUACACAAUGCAAAUAUAAAAUUUGAAACUGUAUUUUAUUUUUGAUCAUUAUAAUUAAAUUUUGGAUAUGUAAUGUAAAUUAUGUAUUUUUGUACAUUAAAUGUGUAU